rnacentral:tRNA from 1 species
GCUGCCGUAGCUCAGCCGGUAGAGCACCAGAUUGUGGAUCUGGGGGUCAUGGGUUCAAGUCCCAUCGGCAGUA